ACUCCCUGGGAGACACACAGUUGGUGGUGGACAGCGUGGUAAUAAAAGGCCCUGAGACGGGGAGGGCUGCCAGUGUUGAAACCCAGGCUUUAGCUUUGUACCCAGCUGGGUCCCAGAGAAGAACACCAGAUUUCUGCAACCCUGGGGCAGCUGCAGGAAAAGCCUUCAAGGUGAAAGGAAAAUAUUUUCAUUUUUCCAGCAGUUUUUAGAAAUGUUUCAGGGUGAUCCAUUGCUUCUCAAAAUGUCCACUAUCACUUGCAUCAGGAUGUGGGGCAGUUUUUGUUUGCUUUUUUAAAUGCAGAUUUUUGAUCCCUACCCUCCACCUUACCCCUUGGCAGCUCCCCAGCUGCUCUGUGAUAGGAUUCUCUCAGUCUGAAGCACCUGAUAGGAAUUUUAGUUAAACUGAAUUUAUCAGUUCAGGCUCUGGGGAAUUAACUGUGAAUAAGACAGAGGCCCUGCUUUCACAUCUGAUUCAAAAAGUAGACAGGUUCCCCUCUUCCAGGAUGAGUGCCAGGUGACGUGUAUCAGAUGCCCGUUGGUGAGAUUUGAGGCGGACCCCAGACCUUAACACCCCUCUGGCUGAGUCCCCUCACAUGGUAGCAGGGCCUACGCCACAGCCACAGCAAUGCGGGAUCCGAGUCAUGUCUGCGACCUACACCACAGCUCACAGCAAGGCCAGAUCCUUAACCCACUGAGCGAGGACAGGGAUCAAACCCUCAACCUCAUGGUUCCUAGUCGGAUUCGUUAACCACUGAACCACGACGGGAACUCCGGGCCUACACCACAGCAACACCAGAUCAGAGCCACGUCUGUGACCAGCACCACAGUUCAGGGCAACACCAGAUCCUUAACCCACUGAACAAAGGCCAGGGAUUGAACCCGCAACCUCAUGGUUCCUAGUUGGAUUCGUUAACCACUGAGCCACGACGGGAACGCCUCUUUUUAAAUUAUAGUUUUGUCCAGAUAUAUGGAUUGCUGUAUCAUAUGGUAGUUUUAUAUUGCCUUUUCUGAGGAACCCGCAUACUGUUUUCCAUAGUGGUUGUAUCAGUUUACAUUCCUCCAGCCAUGCAGGAGGGUUCCACACCCUCUGCAGCAUUUGUUAUUUGUAGCUUAUGAAUGAUGGCCACUCUGACCAGUAAGAGGUGGUAUCUCACUGUAGUUUUGAUUUGCAUUUCUCUAAUAAUUAGUGAUGUUGAACAUCUUUUAUGUGCCUACUGGCCAGCUGUAUGUCUUCCUUGGAGAAAUGACUAUUUAGGUCUUCUGCACAUUUUUCGAUUAGGUUGUUCGUUCUUUUGUCGUUGAGUUGUAUGAGUUUUGUUUUUUUUUUUUGUAUUUUGGAGGUGAAGCCCUUAUUGGUUGCAUCAUUUGCAACUAUUUUCUUCCAUUCCGUAGGUUGUCUUUUCAUUUUGUUUAUGGUUUCCUUUGAUGUGCAAAAGCUUGUAAGUUUGAUUAGUUUCCAUUUGUUUAUUUUUUUCUAUUGCCUUGGGAGACUGACCUAAUAAGACAUUUGUAUGGUUUGUCUUCUCUGCCCCGUUUUUACAUGAGUGAUAGCAUAUCCCAUACAUUCUUCUGCUCCUCACUUUUUUUCAUUUAAUGUACAUCUUGGAAAUAACAACAGUAAUGUAAUAACAGUAAUAUAACAUGAGGGAAACCCACAUGUCUCAUAAUGAGCCUCCACUACGUGUCAGGUGCUGUUCUAAGCACUUCAGAUGUUAUAAUUCACACCGUGCUUGUCAGAAUCCUGUGUGGUAGGUACUUGGUAUGAAUCCCCAUUGUUAAGAGGUUAAGUAAUUUUCCGAGAUUUCACAGCUGAUACUUGGCAGAGGCAAGAUUCAAUCCCGGGCCAUCUGACUUUAGAUUAGUUGUCCUUUGUCCCUGCCCCAUUGCUGCUCACGCUUGUGUCAUGUCACUGUGGACGCUUGCUCUUCCCGAGGGCCAAGGUGGGAGAGAUGCUGGUUAUUGAACUCUUGCCAUGGCCAGGCUCAGGCUGGGAUGCAGCAAAGAAUAAGAAAGACUAGGUCUCUGCUCUCUUAGAACUGGCAUCCCAGGGCCUACAAGUGUCUGUCAGCCAAAGCAGGAGGAGGGAAACCCACGUGUCGCCUACACUCACACGCCCGUGUCCAGUGUGCUGCUCACACGCACCCUGUUCCUUUUAUCCACUGGUCCUUUACUCACUCAGCCUCUGAGCUGGAAGGCCUUGGGGCCCAGUGCUCAAGGUAGGAACGUGGAGGUCUAGACGGAGGAGACACUUGUGAGGGAUCACAGCGUGGCCCUCGUGAACCUCAUCCCCUGCCCCCCCGGGAUCCAUUUCAGCAGGGCUGGUGGAGGCGUCUCUAAUCCAGGGCCCAACCAUUGUUUGAAGUUGGGAACAAUUGAAGGGCAAGGGAGCUAUAGAUAGAUCCACAGCUGCUAUCACCUGUUCCAGCCUGGGCACUGGCCCAAGCAUUGUCUGCAUGGGGGUACUCUACCAAGGCCCACUGCGGGUGGGAGGCUGGUUCAGCCUCGCCCAGCUCUAGAGAGACUGAAUCAGAGGCCCAGACAGAGAAAUACAGAAUCUCAGAGGGUGGAAACCGACAGGGUAACUCAGAAAGACCCAGACCCUUGAGAGAUACUAGAGGCUCCCACCAAAUGCCAGGAACACUGAGGCUGGGUGGGGCUGGGAGAGCUGCACUUGUAUAUUUCUCUCUGGGGCAACCACUUCCCGGACUCUUCCUGAGGCAGUCAGAGGUACUUUGGGGAGUGCUCUUGGAGACCCCUGGGGGCUUUGAAAUGGAGAGGUUGUGGAGUUCCUGUUGUGGCUCAGUGAUAAUGAACCCAACUAGUAUCCAUGAGGACACAGGUUUGAUCCCUUGCCCGGGUCAGUGGGUUGAGGAUCCAGCAUUGCCAUGAGCUGUGGUGUAGGUUGCAGAUGCGGCUUAGAUCCCACAUUGCUGUGAUAUAGGCUGGCAGCUGCAGCUCCGAUUAGACCCCUAGCCCGGGAACUUCCAUAUGCUGCAAGUGGGCCCUAAAAAGACC
rnacentral:lncRNA from 1 species